UCAGCGGGGGGCACACUUCAGAAGAAAACAUAGUCUUGUCGAGAUCACAGCCUGGUGCCCUGCUGCACAUCUACUUCUCCAUCUGAGGUGGCACACCUCUGCACAUACCCCGAGUGCUGCCCGAGAUCCCACAUCUGGGAAGUGGAUGCCACAAGUCUUUGGAAGGCUUCGGGAUGUUGGAAGAUCCAGAUGUAGAACUCUUAAGCUACUA